AAAGGGGUAGUUUAAUUAGGAAAACAUCACUUUUACAGAGUGGAGAACGCUAGUUUUAAUUGUGCGUCCCUUUA
rnacentral:tRNA from 1 species